GUCGUGAAUCCCGCCGUGGCCCAGAGCUCACUGCCCUCGACCGACACACUUUAGAAUUAAACAUGUCCGUACCUGCUCCUCUUCCUUCUCCAUCCCGGUCGGCAUCUGCGGGACGGCCCGACUGAUAGACACGCAGUCGACCAACAAUCCCAGCUGAGUCUCGUGGAACAGAACGUGAACUUCCAGCUCGACUUUCUGGUAGUUUUCAGACCAGGUUGUUACUUCAGCUGGAAAGUCGACAUCUCGGGUGUGAUGCAUCAGCACGAGAAUGACGGGUUUAUCACCUGGCGAGAGAAACACGGGACAAAGUUUAGCCUGAUCGGUUCAGUCAUUCUGUGCCUUCACUUAUUGUUUCCUUUUUUGUGAGGCUGGUCAUUCUAAUAAAGUUGUCCUCUGCAGCA